rnacentral:misc_RNA from 1 species
GCAGAUUCGGGAUCAUCCAGCAGAUGUGUUGAAGAGGAGAUGGAUAACGGACACUCUACACGUGAAAACAUGGACUUUGUCUCUGCUGCUGGAUUUGAGAUGGUUGAGCUUCUGGUGUUUGUUGCACAACUAUUGAAAGAGUACAAAUGUAGUUGACGCGAAGGAGGUGUUGAUUAAAUUGGGGUAUGGUUUGGAAGAAGUUUUUUGUAUAGUAACUUUGGAUUUUGGAAGGUACAGAAUCUAUUAUUGUAACAUAACUAAACUAUUAGAAGCUUUCUCGAGUCACUGCUCAGUUAUCUUUUUUUAAACAUACAGAGACAUGAUUUUUUG